CACGCCCUAAACGAUGUCAACUGGUUGUUGAGAGGGUUUCUUCUCAGUAACGUAGCUAACGCGUGAAGUUGACCGCCUGGGGAGUNACGCGAAAAACCUUACCUACCCUUGACAUGCCCGGAAUCCUGCAGAGAUGCGGGAGUGCUCGAAAGAGAACCGGGGCACAGGUGC
rnacentral:rRNA from 1 species